UACUCCCCAACCUUCUGAAAGCUUCCUCUUUAUUUCUACUGCGCCGAUUUCUCUCUCUCUCUCUCUAAAACAAUCUCUGGUUUUCAUCUCUACAUCCGUUUCACCAGUGUAUCAAGGCGGUUGUGGAGUUCUCUGUGAUGGAAAAUGGCAUUGGCAUUGCCGAGGAUGCCAAGCUGAGGGAGAUGAGUGUCGUGGCAAGCAAAGUAGUGGAGCCAAUUAUGAACAAGACUGUUGAUUUAGGUUCGGACGAAUCGCAGUGCUCUGAUGGGGAUGAAGUAUUCGAAGAGGCAGUUGAGGCGGAAACCCCCUAUGCCGAUUCGGUGGAUAGUAUAAUGACUAGAAUUGGCAACGUCGAUUUAAUUUUUCCCUUUGAGAAUAAUGAGGGGAAUUUAGAUGCGCUACAUGAGUUUGAAGAAGUGAUUGGGGGUCCCGCUGUAGUUUCGAGUUCAGAGGAUGCGGGUGCAAAGACUGAGAUUUUGACGAGUGAGGAGAAGCAAAUUGCUUCAGAGAAAAUUGUGGGGGGCGAAACGAAUGGAUUGGUGGAAGAUAUUGUUAGUGAGGAGAAUGGAAGUGCUAUUGAGGAUGGCAAAAAUCUGUCGACGGAGAUUGUUGGUUCAGCUGCCAUUGCUGCUGAAACUGUGAAUCUCAAUGAUGGAAAUGAGAAGUCGGACGAGUCCAAUCAAAGACCUGUGGGUGUCAUAUCAGAGAAGUUGAGCUCUAUGGAAGACAAUGUGGCUGAAAACAAUGAUAGUGCAACUGAGGAAGGGGAAAAUCAGUGUGUGGAGGUUGUCGAUUCAGCAGCCAUUGCUGAUGAAACUGAGAAUCUAAACGAUGGAAAUGAGAAGUUGGAUGAGUCCACUGUGGGUGUCAUAUCAAAUGAAGUGAGCCAUAUUGAAGACAGUGAUAGUGCUACUGAGGAUGGGAAAAGUCGUAAUACGGAAAUUGUUGAUUUGGCUGCCAUUGGUGAUGAAACUUCGAAUCUAAAUGAUGAACACGAGAAGUUGGAUGAGUCGAUUCAAAACCCCGUGAAUGUCAUAUCGGAUCAAGUGAGCCAUUUUGAAGACAGAGUUGCUGAUAACGGUGAUAGUGCUAUUGACGACGUGAAAAAUCAGCAUGUGGAAAGCGUUAAUUCAUCUGUCAGCCAUAUUGAAGACAGAGUUGCUGAUAACGGUGAUAGUGCUAUUGACGACGGAAAAAAUCAGCAUGUGGAAAGUGUUGAUUCAUCUGUCAGCCAUAUUGAAAACAGAGUUGCUGAUAACGGAGAUAGUGCUAUUGACGACGGGAAAAAUCAGCAUGUGCAAAGUGUUGAUUCAUCUGUCAUUGUGGAUGAAACUCUGAAUCUAAAUGAUGAAAAUGAGAUGUUUGACGAGUCCGUUCAGAACCCUGUGAACGUCAUAUUGGAUAAAGCGAGCCGUGUUGAAGAUAGUGUUGCUGAGGAUAGUGAUAGUGCUAUUGAGGAUGGGAAACUUCAUAAUAAGGAAACUGUUGAUUCAACUGCCGUAGCUGAUGAAACCGCGAGUCCAGAUGAUGAAAAUGAGAAGUUGGAUGAGCCCAAUGAAAAGCCUGUGGGGGUCAUUUCAAACAAAAUGAGCUAUGCUGAAGCUUUAACUUCUGGAGAUGUAAAAAUUGUUGAUGCAGACAACAAAGAAGCACUAAUUUCCGAGAUGCCUAAAACUCAAGAAUCCAAUGAGUUAAGCAGAGAUGUGACUGAACCAGAGAAGCUUGAUAUUGAAACAGAACAUCAUGAGAUUACAGAAAAUCAAGAUUGCAAUAAAGUAAAUGGAGGUGAAAUCGAGUCCAAUCUUCCUGAAAAUGGUUCCUUGGACCAUGUCAGUAUGGUUGGUACUUUGAAUCAUGAAGACAUGCCGAGUGUAGAUUCUGAUGCGCUGAAAGAACAAGUUCAAGAAGAUACAGACGUGGUUAAGGCAAGUGAAAGUGUCACUAGGGCAGCGUUUGAGUCCAACGGAGACGCUCUGCAUAAGAACGAAGAUAAUGGUAUUCUAGCUUCUGGGAACCAGCAUGAAAAGCAUGAAAACCACUCUGCUGAUCUUUCUGAAGUCCAAAAGGAUGAGGUUAUGGAGCUGGAGGAAAACUCACGUGAAGCUGAUGAUAGUCGUGAUAUUGACCACGAAGAAAAUAGUGGAAUUGCAGCUGCAGAAACUUCCAAACUUGGCUCUAACUUGCAGACCGCCUUUGAAGAUAGCACACCGAAACCGGAGAUAGCAGAAACUCCAAGAUCUUCUCAGCCGCAGCUUGUUGAUUCCAGUUCUGAAGUCUCAACUAACAUUGUUGAGAAUGUUGCCAAGGUACAAGAACCUGUUACUCACGGUACAACACCUAAAUUAGAACAGGAAAUUAAACCUGUGACAGCUAUCUCCUCAGCUGCUAACUCCACAACUCCUCCACCUGCUGGACUUGGGAAUACGGCCCCACUUCUGGAUCACGGUUCUCAAAAUAAAGACCGUUGGUCCCGGACUGUGGCUGAUAAUAUUCCAUCAACCAAUAUUACAUCUGCAACUCCUGCUCGACCAGCUGGCCUUGGGCGGGCUGCCCCGCUGUUGGAGCCCACCUCUCGGGCUGUCCAGCAGCCUCGAGUGAACGGAGCUGUUUCUGCAGCACAGAACCAGCUCAUUGAAGACCCUACAAAUGGGGAGAGUGAGGAGUACGACGAAACCCGUGAAAAGCUUCAGAUGAUUCGUGUCAAAUUUCUGCGCCUUGCUCAUAGGCUUGGUCAGACUCCACACAAUGUUGUUGUCGCUCAAGUCUUGUAUAGAUUGGGGCUGGCCGAACAGCUACACGGCAGAAGUGGCGGACGUGUUGCUGGAUUUAGCUUUGAUCGUGCCAGUGCAAUGGCUGAGCAGCUUGAGGCAGCUGGACAAGACCCUCUAGACUUCACAUGCACAAUCAUGGUUCUUGGCAAAUCAGGUGUCGGCAAAAGUGCAACCAUAAAUUCCAUAUUCGACGAAGUCAUGUUCGGUACAGAUGCUUUUCAGUUGGGAACCAAGAAGGUUCAGGAUAUUGUUGGGACUGUGCAAGGAAUCAGGGUACGGGUGAUCGACACUCCUGGACUUUUCCCCUCUUGGUCAGACCAGCGCCAGAACGAGAAAAUCCUUCAUUCUGUCAAAAGGUUUAUCAAGAAAACACCUCCAGAUAUUGUUCUGUAUCUUGACAGAUUGGACAUGCAGAGCAGAGAUAUGGGUGAUAUGCCUUUAUUACGGACAAUCACCGAUAUCUUUGGACAGUCUAUUUGGUUCAACGCCAUUGUUGUUCUGACACAUGCUGCAUCUGCUCCGCCCGAAGGUCCGAAUGGCACUACAACAAGUUACGACAUGUUUGUUACACAGAGAUCGCAUGUUGUCCAGCAAGCAAUUCGUCAGGCCGCUGGAGAUAUGAGGCUGAUGAAUCCUGUUUCUUUGGUGGAGAACCACUCAGCUUGCAGGACAAACAGGGCUGGGCAGAGGGUUUUGCCGAACGGUCAGGUUUGGAAGCCUCAUUUGUUGCUUCUCUCUUUUGCUUCGAAAAUUCUGGCCGAAGCGAAUACUCUGCUAAAGUUGGCCGAUAGUCCUCCUGGAAGACCUUUUGCUCCUCGAACAAGAUCGCCGCCUUUACCUUCCCUUCUUCCGUCUCUUCUCCAAUCGAGACCUGAAGUUAAACUUCCGUCGGAGCAAUUUGGCGAUGACGAUGAUGCUGUAGAUGAUGAUCUGGACGAGUGCUCGGAUUCGGAAGGAGAAUCGGAAUACGAUGCGUUACCUCCCUUCAGAUCGUUGACUAAAGCCCAGCUAGAAAAUCUUAGUAAACAGCAAAAGAAGGCAUACUAUGAUGAACUAGAAUACAGAGAAAAACUCUUCAUGAAGAAGCAGCUGAAGGAAGAGAGGAAGCGACGGAAAAUGAUGAAAAAAAUGCAGGAAGCAGCUAUAGGUUUGCCUGCUGAUUAUGGUGACAACGGUGAAGAAGAGGCCAGUGCUGCUGCAUCUGUACCAGUUCCUAUGCCGGACUUGGCCCUACCCGCUUCUUUUGAUUCGGAUAAUCCGACCCAUCGAUAUCGGUCUCUGGAUUCCUCCAACCCUUGGCUUGUGAGGGCUGUUUUGGAACCCAAUGGGUGGGACCAUGACAUUGGAUACGAUGGCAUAAACGUCGAGCGAUUGUUUGUGCUUGAUUCGAAUGUACCAGUAUCUUUCUCUGGCCACAUUUCGAAGGACAAAAAAGAUGCCAGUCUUCAAAUGGAAAUGGCGACCUCUGUGAAGCAUGGGAAAGGGAAAGCAACCACUUUAGGCUUUGAUAUGCAACCGUUUGGAAAGGACUAUGCUUACACUCUACGAAGCGAUACUAGAUUUAUCAGUAACCGAGUGAACAAGGCAGCUGCUGGUCUUUCGACUACUGUUUUAGGGGAUAUUUUAACCGGUGGAGUAAAACUAGAGGACAAAUUAACCAUUGGUAAAAGGGGGCAGUUACUGGUUUCGGGUGGUGCUAUUUAUGGUCGAGGAGAGGUUGCUUAUGGUGGCAGUUUGGAAGCAACUUUGAGAGACAAAGAACAUCCUUUAGGACGCUUUCUAUCAACACUGGGGAUUUCUGUAAUGGAUUGGCAUGGUGAUCUUGCUGUUGGGUGCAAUUCCCAGACACAGAUUCCUAUUGGACGGCAUACGAAUUUGAUUGGUCGUUUUAAUCUUAAUAACAGGGGAUCUGGACAACUUAGCCUUAAAGUGAACAGUUCGGAGCAGCUGCAAAUAGUGUUGAUUGGCUUAAUUCCGUUAGUUCAGAAAGUACUUGGUUAUUCUCAGCAGGUGCAGUAUGGUUGAUGAUGAUGAUGAUGAUGAUGAUGAUGAUAGAAGGAUGUUGCAUGAUGUGGCAGCCAAUCGGGAUAUCCCGAAUUGCUUCUUUCGUGUGCGUCGUUUGCUCGAUCGGUUACUGAUAUAGGUAAUAAAUAGAAAGGAUAAUGGGAGUUUUGAAGGAUAUUUUGCAUUUUGCGUGUUCAGAUUGGGAGACGUUGCAUUAUUUGGCUACUUUCAAGAACUUCAUCUAAAUUUAAUUUUCAUUCUCUGAUUUUAAGAAUGUAAUAUUUUUAAAUUUGCUAUUGCUCGGAAUUUUGUAGAAUGUAGUACCAUUUUCAAUCUGUGAGAGUUUUGGCAUAAUGUGAAUAUCUUGUCAUCAAUAUGGCUUGGCUUGGUUUGCUCGUGAAAUUACAGGCUUCUGUUA